rnacentral:rRNA from 1 species
GAUGAACGCUGGCGGCGUGCCUAACACAUGCAAGUCGAACGGAGACCAGCCUUUAAGGCCUUCGGGUCGAAGGGGGGACGACUGAGUGGCGGACGGGUGAGUAACACAUGGGCAACUUGGCUCAUUGAGGGGGCUAACAGCGAGUAAUUUCUGCUAAUCCCGUCUACUCAUACACUGCGUCAUGGCGGAGGGUGAAAAGAGAAUCGCGAGGAGAUGGACCUGCGUCUGAUUAGCCAGUGUGCAGGGUAAGAGCCUACCAAAGCGACGAUCAGUAGACGGUCAGAGAGGAGGAAAUGCCACAUUGGAAGUGAGACAGGACCCAGACACAUACGGGAAGCAGCAGUGGGGUAUAUUGCAAAAUGGGGGGAAAACUGAUGCAGCGACGGCGCGUAAGAGAAGAAGUAUGGCGGAAUGUAAAGCUCUAUGAGCAGAGAAGAUAAUGACAGUACCUGAAUAAGAAGCCCCGGCUAACUACGUG